rfam:Xanthomonas oryzae pv. oryzae KACC10331, complete genome.
GGCGUCUUUUGCCCAGGCGGAACUCGACCGCCCCUUCACGAGGUGAAGCGCUUCAUCGACGACCAUCGCGACGUUCACGGGGUCGAGCCGAUCUGCAAGGUGUUGCCGAUCGCCCCG